rnacentral:rRNA from 1 species
UACGUAGGUGGCAAGCGUUGUCCGGAUUUACUGGGCGUAAAGGGCGUGCAGGCGGUCUGUUAAGUGCAGGGUGAAAGCUCCCGGCUCAACUGGGAGAGGUCCUUGCAUACUGGCGGACUUGAGGGGGGUAGAGGAAAGUGGAAUUCCCGGUGUAGUGGUGAUAUGCGUAGAUAUCGGGAGGAACACCUGUGGCGAAGGCGGCUUUCUGGGCCCUACCUGACGCUGAGGUGCGAAAGCGUGGGGAGCGAACAGG